UGUUUAAUUCUAUCUUCGCUGAUCCGGUAUAAUUCCGCUGUAGUACCGUGCUAAUUCGUCCGUCGAUGAAUGAUGCCCUUCAAUUGCUUUUGUAAGAUUUACAUCUGCGCGUUCUGUUUCAUCGGUUUUGGAGUCGUUUGAUUCGUCCAAACAAUUUGGUACAGCCGAAUUGAAAUCUAAUGUUGCAUUGUCGCUUAUGGCAUUGUGGGCAAAUCCGACCUGGACCUGGUUCUUCAUCAUCAUCGCUGUUUGGAGAAACACAGGAGGAAUUAAAAUGACUAAAUCCUGAAUCUCAAUUAUAGUUACCCGUAACAGGCCUGUGCCGUUCGUAGUUCUGCAUCCGAUCUACGGCAUUUGUUGAUGAACAGGUAUGCAUUGAGUGCUUCAUCUACGCACCGCGGACAUGCAUCUCCGGGUAGACCGUCGCCUUCGGAAAUCUGCAAAAAUUCCUUUUAUUUUCCAAACUAAAUACAGAAAAUUUAAUGAUUAAAUCUUACCUCGAUCCUGGCACAGAAUUUUAAAAUAUCACAAAGCUUGGUACCGCGCCGUUGCUUAAAUAACGACACACAAUU